UACGAAGGGUGCAAGCGUUACUCGGAAUCACUGGGCGUAAAGCGUGCGUAGGCGGUUCGUUAAGUCUGCUGUGAAAGCCCUGGGCUCAACCUGGGAACUGCAGUGGAAACUGGCGGACUAGAGUGUGAUAGAGGAUGGUGGAAUUCCCGGUGUAGCGGUGAAAUGCGUAGAGAUCGGGAGGAACACCAGUGGCGAAGGCGGCCAUCUGGAUCAACACUGACGCUGAGGCACGAAAGCGUGGGGAGCAAACAGG
rnacentral:rRNA from 1 species